rnacentral:rRNA from 1 species
UGGGGAAUCUUAGACAAUGGGCGCAAGCCUGAUCUAGCCAUGCCGCGUGAGUGACGAAGGCCUUAGGGUCGUAAAGCUCUUUCGCCAGGGAUGAUAAUGACAGUACCUGGUAAAGAAACCCCGGCUAACUCCGUGCCAGCAGCCGCGGUAAUACGGAGGGGGUUAGCGUUGUUCGGAAUUACUGGGCGUAAAGCGCACGUAGGCGGGCUGUUAAGUUAGAGGUGAAAUCCCGGGGCUCAACCCCGGAACUGCCUUUAAUACUGGCAGCCUAGAGUUCGAGAGAGGUGAGUGGAAUUCCGAGUGUAGAGGUGAAAUUCGUAGAUAUUCGGAGGAACACCAGUGGCGAAGGCGGCUCACUGGCUCGAUACUGACGCUGAGGUGCGAAAGUGUGGGGAGCAAACAGGAUUAGAUACCCCCGUAGUCC